UACGUAGGGUCCGAGCGUUGUCCGGAAUUAUUGGGCGUAAAGGGCUCGUAGGCGGUUUGUUGCGUCGGGAGUGAAAACUUACAGCUUAACUGUGAGCGUGCUUCCGAUACGGGCAGACUUGAGGUAUUCAGGGGAGAACGGAAUUCCUGGUGUAGCGGUGAAAUGCGUAGAUAUCGUAAGGAAGACCAGUGGCGAAGGCGGGUCUCUGGACAGUUCCUGACGCUGAGGCACGAAGGCCAGGGGAGCAAACGGG
rnacentral:rRNA from 1 species